UCAAUGGCCAGAUCCUGACCAUCAGCACAAAUCAUUUAUAGCCAGGUCUGAGCUCUCCUGCCCUAACCCAAGGCUAGUUUCCAUGAGAUUCAGAUUUUCUAACCACAGCAUUUGCAGAGUAGGAACCUUUGGCUGCUGUUUUGAUUUUUUUUAGUGACCAAUGUCUUUUUACAGAUCCUUCUUUUUUUUUCCCCCCCACUGGUUGGAUCUCAGUCAACAAGGACUGCCUAAUCAAAAGGGCCUGCAAGCAGAAUUGGGUUGUUUCGUGAAGGCUGAGGUCCUUCAGCAGAAAUGUGACAUAGAUAGGAUGCAGUGGAUAGUCCUGUAAUCCUGUAAAUUCUCCUGUACAACAGGAGAAUUUAAAAUUCAAAUGUUCUCUGAAACUCUGAAACCAGAAGGAAACAAAAGGAGAAAUCCAACUACAGAGGAGAGGUGAAACAGGACAGGAAUUCUGUCUCAGCCAUGGGAAAUGUCCUUUCCAAGCACAUGAGGAAGUCUGUUUUGCAGCAGCAGGUUCUCUCCACAUGGAAUCUCUGUACUUUUAUGACAUGUACAGUUGGUUGUAAUGCCAUACUGGGUAUCAUGUAUAACAUCAAAGAGCUAAGUGAGUAUAAAGUGUAUCUGAGAAGUGCCCAUCUCUGA
rnacentral:lncRNA from 1 species